ACUAUCCGAGACUGGAGUUUGAUUUUUAGGUCUUUCUGUCUCCAGGCCAGAUGCUCUAUGCAGCUGCCUUAAAGAAAGCAGGAAAGUGGCUGGAUGUUAAAGCAAGAGUCGAAAGCAGAAAGUCUUUCAAGGGAAUGCAGGAUAUCUGAAUUUCAAUUUUGGCUCAGCUACUGUCUCAUUGGAUGAACAUGGAUACCUUUCAAGAUUUCAAGUUUUCCAGAUAUUUUUAAGAGGAAGAGAGUAAAAACCACAAUCAACAAAGGCAUCCCUGACCGAUAUAAAUAUGUGGCAACAAUUACUGUCAACGUGGAAGUAGCUGGAGCUUGGUUGCUGUAAUUCUUCCAGAAAAGAGGACUUCUGUGAGUGGAAUACAAAUAGAUUUAUUUUAGAUGUCUACCCACAAACUUUACAAUUAAAAAAUGUUUACAAAUGAGGCAAAUGAAUUCUGUAGUUAUAACUGAUAUAUACUGAGCUGGGUUGCUUGUUGACUUCAGACUGAGAUAUGUCAAAUAGAGUGACAGAUUACACAUUUGUAUGUCAAGGUUUCAAUAGGUUUAUUGGACUUACUAGUGGUAUUCUUGAAAAUUUU